ensembl:lncRNA
GGGCUGGUCAUGGACACACUGGGGAUGUCCAUCCACCGUCUUACACGUAGUUCCCUUGGGACAAUGGAGGUCGCUGCAGGAAGGCUGCCUUGGAGAUACCUUGAGUUGGACACACCGUGGCCAACCAUCCACCAUCUGGCACGUGGUUCCUUUCUGGCACUGGAUGUCACUGCAGGUAGGUUGAUUUUGGACACACUGGGGAUGUCCAUCCAUCAUCUUACACGUAGUUCCCUUGGGACAAUGGAGGUCACUGCAGGAAGGUCUCCUUGGGGCCACCUUGAGUUGGAUGCAGCGUGGCCAACCAUCCACCAUCUGGCACGUGGUUCCUUUCUGGCACUGGAUGUCACUGCAGGUAGGUUGAUUUUGGACACAUUGGGGAUGUCCAUCUAUCAUCUUACAAGUAGUUCCCUUGGGACAAUGGAGGUCGCUGCAGGAAGGCUGCCUUGGAGAUACUUUGAGUUGGACACACCGUGGCCAACCAUCCACCAUCUGGCACGUGGUUCCUUUCUGGCACUGGAUGUCACUGCAGGUAGGUUGAUUUUGGACGCACUGGGGAUGUCCAUCCACCGUCUUACACGUAGUUCCCUUGGGACAAUGGAGGUCACUGCAGGAAGGCUUCCUUGGGGACACCUUAAGUUGGACGCAGCGUGGCCAACCAUCCACCAUCUGGCACGUGGUUCCCUUCUGGCACUGGAUGUCACUGCAG